GGGCUGGCAGCCAAGAAACCCUAGAUUUCUUGGUUCUAGGAUGUGAAGAAGAUCAAAAAGAGAGAGUAAGGAAGAGAGAGAAAGAUAGAAAGAAUAAUUUUGUGUUCCUUUCGAUUCAUUGAGUCCAAAUACAAUGUAUGUUUAUAUAUAAGAUCAAUGUGACCCAACCCAAAAACUCCCCUGGCUAACUCAAUACAAGAUUGCACUCAUCCAA
rnacentral:lncRNA from 1 species